rnacentral:rRNA from 1 species
AAUCAACGCUGGCGGCGUGCCUCAGACAUGCAAGUCGAACGAGAAAUCCCGAGCAAUCGGGAAAGUAAAGUGGCGCACGGGUGAGUAACACGUAGGUAAUCUACCUUCGGGUGGGGAAUAACCCAGGGAAACUUGGGCUAACACCGCAUAAUGCAGCGGCACCACAUGGUGACAGUUGUUAAAGCGGGGGAUUUUAGGACCUCGCGCCUGAAGAGGAGCCUGCGGCGGAUUAGCAGUUGGUAAGGUAACGGCUUACCAAGGCGACGAUCCGUAGCCGGCCUGAGAGGGCGGUCGGCCACACUGACACUGACAUACGGGUCAGACUCCUACGGGAGGCAGCAGUCGGGAAUUUGGGCAAUGGGCGAAAGCCUGACCCAGC